GCCUACUACAAUCUUUGGUUACUUCACUUUUGUUCCGAUAAUACAAUUAAUUGCAAUAAUCAUACAUGAUCAAGUUUUAGAAGACAAGCCUAGAUUUAAAUUUCUAAAUUGCUGUUACAAACAUUUUAUUUUGCAUAAUAAAAUUGUAUUCUGUGCAGGUAUGCAAUUACCGAGGUGUACUAGACGCAAGUUGGAGGACUACGUUUCAAAACUUACAUUCUCACUAACAUUAUAAAAAAACAACGUAGUUAUAAUUGCAAAAUAAGAUCUAUCCGAAUAUUAAACAUAUAAAUAGAAGUUACUGAAAAUGCAUGAACUCAUUUAUGAAGAGUAUUCAUCAAGAGAUUGGAGAUCGAUAAGAAUGAUUACAAACCGAAUGCCGAACGUUGUCUUUAAGAGGGUUUUAGAAAAUCAGCAAACGCUAGUGAUGGACGACUUAUUUUUAGUAUUGAAGCGAACGUAUUCAAGAAGUAAUUUGCACCAAAACAAUACAAAGCUACAAGAGAAUGGAUAUCGAUAGGAAUCAUUACAAACCGAGUGUCGAGACUUCGACGUCUUAGAAAAUGAACAAACAAAAUAGAGAAUGUAACAAGCGAAUAAAAAAAUAUUCGGGAAGUAACUUGCACCAAAGCAGGACAAGAACAUCUCGGAAACAAACGGUAGUGCUGAACGCUCGUUUUCAUUAUUGAACCGAAUAAGAAAGUAUUCAAGAAAUAAUUUGUACCAAAAGCAAGACAGGAAAACUUAAUUGAUACGCAAAUAAAUGGCAAAUGCCGAAAAUAAACAAAAAAUGGGAUAGAAUACAAUACUAUUUAUUUGACACGCAGACGUUUUAUUGAGAGAGUGUUUGCUUGUACGAUUGUUCGAAUGUCGUAAAGUAAUAUUAGGUGAAGACAUGCUCUGGUAGGCCAAUCGUCGAAAACGUUGAUAAAAUCAUGGAAAUCGUCGAGUCAGACCGACAUGCGAGCACUUAUUCUAUUGCCUAGGAACUAAAGCGUAACGAAAUCAACCCAUUUUUUAAGAGGAUGGUGACAGGGGAUAAAAAAUGGGUCACAUACGAGAACAACACGCGAAGAAGAUCGUGGUCCAACAGCGGUGAGCCAGCCCAAACGAUCGCCAAGCCCGGAUUAACGAUCAAGAAGGUUUUACUGUGUGUUUGGUGAGAUUGAAAGGGAAUCCUCCACUAUGAGCUGCUUUUAUCGGACCAAUCACUCAAUUCGGACAUAUACUGUUAACAACUGACCAGAUUGAAGCAGGCGAUCGACGAGAAGCGUCCAGAAUUGGACAAUAGGAAGGGUGUUGUUUUCCAUCAAGACAACGCCAGACCGCACACAUCUUUAACAACGCGCCAGAAGAUCCGAGAGCUUGGAUGGGACGUUAUAUCGAACCCACCGUAUAGUCCAGACCUGGCACCAAGCGAUUAUCACCUUUUCAAACAUUUGCAAAAUCUUCUUGAUGGUAAAAAACUGGCUUCAAGAGAGGCCUGUGAAAAUGAGCUGGUCAAGUUUUUUACCACUAGGGACGAGGAUUUCUUCAAUCGCGGAAUU